UGGUGGAGNNUGUGGUUUAAUUCGAUGCAACGCGAAGAACCUUACCUACUCUUGACAUCCAGAGAAUUCGCUAGAGAUAGCUUAGUGCCUUCGGGAACUCUGAGACAGGUGCUGCAUGGCUGUCGUCAGCUCGUGUUGUGAAAUGUUGGGUUAAGUCCCGCAACGAGCGCAACCCUUAUCCUUGUUUGCCAGCACAUAAUGGUGGGAACUCCAGGGAGACUGCCGGUGAUAAACCGGAGGAAGGUGGGGACGACGUCAAGUCAUCAUGGCCCUUACGAGUAGGGCUACACACGUGCUACAAUGGCGUAUACAGAGGGCUGCAAACUAGCGAUAGUAAGCGAAUCCCACAAAGUACGUCGUAGUCCGGAUNGGAGUCUGCAACUCGACUCCAGAAGUCGGANNCGC
rnacentral:rRNA from 1 species